rnacentral:rRNA from 1 species
AUUGAACGCUGGCGGCAGGCUUAACACAUGCAAGUCGAGCGGGGUGAUGGUGCUCGCACUAUCACUUAGCGGCGGACGGGUGAGUAAUGCUUAGGAAUCUGCCUAUUAGUGGGGGACAACAUCUCGAAAGGGAUGCUAAUACCGCAUACGUCCUACGGGAGAAAGCAGGGGAUCACUUGUGACCUUGCGCUAAUAGAUGAGCCUAAGUCGGAUUAGCUAGUUGGUGGGGUAAAGGCCUACCAAGGCGACGAUCUGUAGCGGGACUGAGAGGAUGAUCCGCCACACUGGGACUGAGACACGGCCCAGACUCCUACGGGAGGCAGCAGCGGGGAAUAUUGGACAAUGGGGGGAACCCUGAUCCAGCCAUGCCGCGUGUGUGAAGAAGGCCUUAUGGUUGUAAAGCACUUUAAGCGAGGAGGAGGCUCUUUUGGUUAAUACCCAAGAUGAGUGGACGUUACUCGCAGAAUAAGCACCGGCUAACUCUGUGCCAGCCGCCGUAGUAA